UGAGCCCCUCCGACAGCCUGGAGCCCAGCGAGGAGACCCCCACACCACAGCCAGCCUGCAGCCCCGGAGACGAGCCGCCCCCCAUCACCCCCACCCCACUGCCAUCUUAAACCCCUCCGCCUGCCUCUCUUUAAACGCCCUGCCGCUGAUCUGGAGGGGCUUUGAGUUCACAGCAGCUCCUGCUGCAUCGUCAUUAUUUUUGUAAUUUUGAUCUCCUGUUUUGUUUUAUUGGGGUGGGUUCUGGUUUAGUAGGGAAAGGGCAUGCGGAAUACAGGCAGGCGUUCAAGAAUGGAAAGCCAAGACUGCUUCUGUGUUUUUGGGUUUUUUUUCUUCAAAGAAGUGAUGGCACGUUGACCUGAGCAUAACAAAAAAUUCUAAUAAGUCUAUGAGGCUUUUGAUUUUUCAUUUUGUUUGUUUGUUUCUGUUUUUCUGGUUUACUGGUACCUUUUUAUAACAAGGGGCUGUGUAGCCGAUCGGUUUUAAUUCUUGGGACAGGUUGAUCCAAACAAAUAUAGCAGAUCAGUUUAAAAAAAAAAAAAAAAAAAAAAAAAACUGCAGUGAGAAUAACCCAGGCCCCAGCAGGGUUACAGCAAUGAGAGAAACUGUGUCUGAGAGCAGUAACCCAGGGAGGCGACAUUACUGUCAGGUAACAACCACACUGACUGGGGAGACUGAUAGAGGAGUCCAGUAUUGGACAGAGCUGUGGGGCUUCCCAGGGGACUGAUAGAGGAGUCCAGUAUUGGACAGAGCUGUGGGGCUUCCUGGGGGGGCUGAUAGUCUUUCAUAUUCUUGUCUCCAGCCAGGCCUGUGUUUGGACUGUGCAGUUCAUCUUUGGCAUGACCUCACCCUCUUCUCUCCCCCAGACAAGCUUUUUCAUGUUACUACCCGCACCACAGCACCACCUGCUGGAUAUAACAGGGAGAACAGUAUGAACGAGUGUGGCUCCUGUUUCCUAUGACCAGUGUUUACGAGAGCGUGUAAGAGUCCCUGCUGCUCACAAGGACGUGAAUUCUCCUGCAAACGUGUGUCUGUACCGUCGGCAACCCUUAUCAUUGCUUCUUAUUAAUGCAAUAAAGACGAAAGUCCUCCUAGCUCAGAAUGUGUCUUUGAGAGUAGCAGGGAUCCCAAGUGCUCUGUGUAAAAGCCUCACCCUCUCCCCUCCCCUACCAGACUCUAUAAGGGCUACCCUGUAUAGAUACCCACAAAGCCUCUAUUCACUGCAGAGGUGUUUAUACCAGUGCUGCACUGCUACCCUGUAUAAAUACAAACACUGCCUCCAUUCACUGCAGAGGAGUUUAUACCAGUGCUGCACUGCUACCCUGUAUAAAUACAAACACUGCCUCCAUUCACUGCAGAGGUGUUUAUACCAGUGCUGCACUGCUACCCUGUAUAAAUACAAACACUGCCUCCAUUCACUGCAGAGGUGUUUAUACCAGUGCUGCACUGCUACCCUGUAUAAAUACAAACACUGCCUCCAUUCACUGCAGAGGUGUUUAUACCAGUGCUGCACUGCUACCCUGUAUAAAUACAAACACUGCCUCCAUUCACUGCAGAGGAGUUUAUACCAGUGCUGUGCUCUAGUUCCCUGUAUAAAUACCCACACUGCCUCCAUUCACUGCAGAGGUGUUUAUACCAGUGCUGCACUCUGCUACCCUGUAUAAAUACAAACACUGCCUCCGUUCACUGCAGAGGUGUUUAUAACAGUGCUGUGCUCUAGUUCCCUGUAUAAAUACAAACACUGCCUCCAUUCACUGCAGAGGUGUUUAUAACAGUGCUGUGCUCUAGUUCCCUGUAUAAAUACCCACACUGCCUCCAUUCACUGCAGAGGUGUUUAUAACUGCUGAACUCUCCCGGGCAGCCCAGUGGAAACCCCUUGGUCUGUUAAUGAGACUGAACUGUGUUUGCACUGGCCACAUUCUCAAUGAUUCCCACAGCCAGCUCAUUGUUUUAAUGGCUUCAGCUAUACAGGUGGGUGUAGUAUAGCAGGUAGAGAAGGAGAUAGAAUUGGGUCCUGUCCCUUCAUCACAUCUCUUCUCUGGAUCCCUGUGCGCUGGUUUAGCCAAUGCCAUUGAGAACCUGCUCAAUUCCAUACAGUACAGCAGCAAUGCAUUGAAGGGAAUUCCAAUAGAGUAAUAUUGUUGCAUGCUGCUGGUUAACAGCAUGUUGAUUUGAGAAGGCUGUCCUGGGCAGUGGGAUCACAGUGCAAGUGUUCUGUACUAGCCCAGGUUCCAGUCCUGGUUCUGUGUGUGGAUGGGAUAUCCCAGCCUGGUCUCCUUGAUUUCAGUGUGCUCUAAAUAUUGGAAGCAGGUUUGGGCAGGGAUGAUUAUACCACCCUUUGCAAGACAUUCAUUACCAGCACAGUGACAUCAAACCCAUGCUUUACAACAGCUACACAUUGGAGGACUGCUGACCCAUUGUUUGUACUAAGGUUAUAAAGAGACUUAACUGACAAAUAAUAUUAUGCAUUUCCUAUGAAUUGAUUGUACUUCGAUUACCUAGAUAUUUUUUUUUUGUAAUUUUGCUGCAUUCUUUUUUCUUAUUUAGGGGUUGGUUAGAAACAAAUAAAAAUGUUUUAGAUUUUUUUCUUUUUUUUUCUUUGAAAGUCUUAAGUAUGCAAGGCAGCGUUGACGUGAUUGCGCCAUUCCAAAGUGCAUCCAAACUGUCAUUCCCUUCUCUUGAAUCUUCUCAGGAUCAAUAAAGUCAGGUUUUCAGCCAUCAGUUCAGAGGGAUCCUCCUCUUCUCA